rnacentral:rRNA from 1 species
AUUGAACGCUGGCGGCAGGCCUAACACAUGCAAGUCGAACGGAUGGCGGACGGGUGUGGAAUGUCUUGGAAACUGCCUGAUGGAGGGGGAUAACUACUGGAAACGGUAGCUAAUACCGCCUACUAUCAGAUGUGCCCAGAUGUGAUUAGCUAGUCGGUGGGGUAAUGGCCCACCAAGGCGACGAUCCCUAGCUGGUCUGAGAGGAAGACCCGCCACACUGGGACUGAGACACGGUCCAGACUCCUACGGGAGGCAGCAGUGGGGAAUAUUGGACAAUGGGGGCAAGCCUGAUGCAGCCAUGCCGCGUGUGUGAAGAAGGCCUUCGGGUUGUAAAGCACUUUCAGCGAGGAGGCGUUACUCGCAGAAGAAGCACCGGCUAACUCCGUGCCAGCAGCCGCGGUAAUAC